AUUGAACGCUGGCGGCAGGCCUAACACAUGCAAGUCGAGCGGUAGCACAGAGAGCUUGCUCUCGGGUGACGAGCGGCGGCCGGGUGAGUAAUGUCUGGGGAACUGCCUGAUGGAGGGGGAUAACUACUGGAAACGGUAGCUAAUACCGCAUAAUGUCGCAAGACCAAAGAGGGGGACCUUCGGGCCUCUUGCCAUCAGAUGUGCCCAGAUGGGAUUAGCUAGUAGGUGGGGUAACGGCUCACCUAGGCGACGAUCCCUAGCUGGUCUGCGAGGAUGACCAGCCACACUGGAGCUGAGACACGGUCCAGACUCCUACGGGAGGCAGCAGUGGGGAAUAUUGCACAAUGGGCGCAAGCCUGAUGCAGCCAUGCCGCGUGUAUGAAGAAGGCCUUCGGGUUGUAAAGUACUUUCAGCGGGGAGGAAGGUGCUGAGGUUAAUAACCUCAGCAAUUGACGUUACCCGCAGAAGAAGCACCGGCUAACUCCGUGCCAGCCGCCGCCGUAA
rnacentral:rRNA from 1 species